CCAUGAUGAACACCUAGAUGACGAGUCUUAUUGGGGUUUCCCAUGCAGACACAAACUUUUCAAAUACCAUUCAUGCUUCACUGAUC
rnacentral:snoRNA from 1 species